ACGACGGGUAGCCGGCCUGAGAGGGCGACCGGCCACACUGGGACUGAGACACGGCCCAGACUCCUACGGGAGGCAGCAGUGGGGAAUAUUGCACAAUGGUCGAAAGCCUGAUGCAGCGACGCCGCGUGAGCGCUGACGGCCUUCGGGUUGUAAACCUCUUUCACCAGGGAAGAAGCGCAACUGACGAUACCUCCAGAAGAAGAACGGGCUAACUACGUGCCAGCAGCCGCGGUAAUACGUAGGGUGCGAGCGUUGUCCGGAAUUAUUGGGCGUAAAGAGCUCGUAGGCGGCCUGUCGCGUCGGAU
rnacentral:ncRNA from 1 species